UCUCCGUUGGUGAACCAGCGGAGGGAUCAUUAAAGAGUUCUAUAACUCCCAAACCCAUGUGAACAUACCCUACGUUGCCUCGGCAGGUCGUGCCUACCCCGUAGCGCCCUACCCUGUAGGACCUACCCGGUAGACGCGGGUAAGCCUGCCGGCGGCCCACGAAACUCUGUUUAGUAUUGAAUUCUGAACCUAUAACUAAAUAAGUUAAAACUUUCAACAACGGAUCUCUUGGUUCUGGCAUGGAUGAAGAACGCAGC
rnacentral:misc_RNA from 1 species